GAGGGGAUAGCUCAGUGGUAGAGUAUGUGCUUAGCAUGCACAAGGUCCUGGGUUCAAUCCCCAGUACCUCCA
rnacentral:tRNA from 1 species